CUCCUCCAUGAUUUUGUUUGGGAAAAGCAAAAGCUCAAGUUUCUGGUCUGUUCCCGAUCCCAACCCCUCUAGCUUUCAUGCUUCUCUGCUGCGCCGAAACUCAGCUCCUUACAGUCUUCUGUCUGGCUGCAACAAAACUGAAAGCAGGUUCUGGCACAUCAGAAGGAACAAAUUAAAACAAACAUGGAACAAAUCCCAUAAUACAAAGAAAAAAAGCAUUCUGCUUGACAUUGUUGGUUCAAAAACUAAAGGUAUGUGGGAAUGUGAAAGAUCAGACAAGAGGCGUGAAUCACAGCUACAAUUACAAUACAAUUGAAUAGGACUCUCGGCUCCCUCUCAGGUGGAUGCAGGAACCUGAUUGACCCUCUUUGCUCUCUGGGUGUGGAGAAGGACCUGCCGCUGCCUGCUAUUGCUGUGAUUGGGGACCAGGGGAAAAGCUCCGUGGGGAGGCGCCGCCAAGGUUGGCGCUGCCGAGAGGAAGGGGAGAGUCCUGAAAAAUGUAUUUAAAAAGUGAUGGAUGUUUUAAAAAUAUGCAUGCUAUUGGUAAUUAUUGCUAAUUGAUGAUGGGGGCAUAUCUUUUUAAGAAAGUUGAUAAAAUGUCAAGUUUUUACUAGAUAUUAUGGGGUCUGGGUCACGACCAAAAGACGAAGGUCCUGUUAACAAGCAGCUUUUUAUGGCUUGUAGUGGCUUUUAAUGGGUUUUAGGGUGGCUAGGUGUUCUUUUGGAGAUUUGGAGUAAGGAGGCACCCAGAAGGAGCUCAGAGUGUAGCCGUUGUUCAUUCACACCAAGUGAGCCAGUUGAGGCAACUUGGACAUCUAGUCCAGAUGCCUCCUGGACGCCUCCCUGGCGUGCCAUGCAUGUUCCACAAGGUGGAAAACCCUGGACACGCUGGUGAGAUGACGUCUUUCAGCUGGCCUGGGAAAUACCUCAGGAUUUCCCAGGUGAACCUGGAAGAAGUGGCUGGGCAGAGGAAAGUCUUACCGUCACCUAGCCCAGGCAGGAAAUGGAUGGAUGGAUACCUGGUAUCCAGAGUGAUUGCUUAUAUAUUGUGAGGUUUGAAAGGGGUGAGCCUGAACUCCAAACCUGUGCUUCAUUGUGAAAAAAAGAAAACAUGACAGUUGGCAAUGAAACACAAAUUACAAUUUCAAUUCAUCUGCAUUAAAUAAAAUCUCUCAAAACGU